GCCAGGCGUGGUGGUGCAUGCCUGUAGUCCCAGCAACUCAGGAGGCUGAGGCAGAAGAAUUGCUUGAACCCAGGAGGUGGAGGCUUGCAGUGAGCUAAGAUCACACCACUGCACUCCAGCCUGGGUGACAGAGCAAGACUCUGUCUCAA
ensembl:misc_RNA Metazoa_SRP Metazoan signal recognition particle RNA